rnacentral:rRNA from 1 species
AUUGAACGCUGGCGGCAGGCCUAACACAUGCGAGUCGAACGGUAACAGGAAGCAGCUUGCUGCUUCGCUGACGAGUGGCGGACGGGUGAGUAAUGUCUGGGAAGCUGCCUGAUGGAGGGGGAUAACUACUGGAAACGGUAGCUAAUACCGCAUAAUGUCGCAAGACCAAAGAGGGGGACCUUCGGGCCUCUUGCCAUCGGAUGUGCCCAGAUGGGAUUAGCUUGUUGGUGGGGUAACGGCUCACCAAGGCGACGAUCCCUAGCUGGUCUGAGAGGAUGACCAGCCACACUGGAACUGAGACACGGUUCAGACUCCUACGGGAGGCAGCAGUGGGGAAUAUUGCACAAUGGGCGCAAGCCUGAUGCAGCCAUGCCGCGUGUAUGAAGAAGGCCUUCGGGUUGUAAAGUACUUUCAGCGGGGAGGAAGGGAGUAAAGUUAAUACCUUUGCUCAUUGACGUUACCCGCAGAAGAAGCACCGGCUAACUCCGUG